rnacentral:lncRNA from 1 species
UGCUGUCUUGGACGUCAUGAGCAUUGCAAUCCCUCUGGGAGUCACCACACCAGAUACAUCGUACUCAGAUAUGGCUGCUGGAUCAGAGGUAUCCUGUCUUGGUAGUGAAUGGAAGAGGGCCUGGUCCCUGGGGCAGUGCAGAAGGCACUUUCAUCAUCUCACUCACUGCAAAUGUCAUGUGAGGUUUCAUGGAAGUAUUAAGAGAUCCAAUUAAGAAGAAUAGUUCUGAGUCUAAACCAGCCCAGAGUGGCUUCUCUAGGGGAAACUCCCCGCUCUGCUGCCCUGAAUCUGUGGAGGCUAGUCCAGCAGUUAAUGAGAAGAGCCUGUACUCCACUCAUAAUUAUGGGACCACUCAGAGGCAUGGGUGUCGAGGACUGCCUUAUGCUACGAUCAUCCCUCGUUCUGACCUGAAUGGCCUGCCGUCGCCCGUAGAGGAACGCUGUGGAGACAGCCCGAACUCUGAAGGAGAGACUGUUCCUACCUGGUGUCCUUGUGGUCUUUCUCAGGAUGGCUUCCUUCUCAACUGUGACAAGUGCAGAUGAUUCCUUAGUGCUCCUUGGCUCGAAUUCUCUGCACUAGGGGAAUGAGCAGGGGGAAGGUUAUUAGACUUCAUCGGCGGAAGCAGGACAACAUAUCAGGUGGGGAUAGCAGUGCAACAGAAAGCUGGGAUGAGGAGCUUUCUCCUUCCACUGUGUUGUACACAGCAACACAGCACACACCUACAAGCAUCACCUUAACUGUUA